CAAUAGCGUAUAUUAAAGUUGUUGCAGUUAAAAAGCUCGUAGUUGGAUUUCUGAGAGGAUGCCAAUGUCCUUCUGUGUAAGUGUGCAGCGGCGUCUUUUCAUCCUUCUGUUAACACCUCUUGGCAUUCGUUUGCUGGUGGUGGGCUCAGAUAUUUUACCUUGAGAAAAUUAGAGUGUUUCAGGCAGGCUAGGCCGGAAUACAUUAGCAUGGAAUAAUGGAAUAGGACUACGGUCUCUUUGUUGGUUUGAGGGACUGCAGUAAUGAUUAAUAGGGAUAGUUGGGGGCAUUAGUAUUUAAUUGUCAGAGGUGGAAUUCUCGGAUUUGUUAAAGACUAACUUAUGCGAAAGCAUUUGCCAAGGAUGUUUUCAUUAA
rnacentral:rRNA from 1 species